AUAAAUCUUCAGGGCAGGGUGUAAUUCCCUACCGGCGGUAUAGCCCGCGAGCUGCUUGCAGCAUGAUUCGGUGAAACUCCGAGGCCGACAGUAUAGUCUGGAUGAAAGAAGAUAAUA
rnacentral:ncRNA from 18 species